UUACUCAAUUUUUGGCGAGGCAAUCGCGACGGCGCGCGCUCAGUGGUGAGGCGAUCUGAACUUACAAGCACAAGAUGUCAGCAACAGCAGCUGAAGUGGAAAAAAGUUCUACACUUCCAGACUCUCUGAGACUGAUUGUCUUAGGUGAAAUUCUCACUGCAACCCAGUGGAUGCUGAGUAUUGAGGGUCAAGUGGUUCUGAAUCAACACCCCAAUUUCAUGGCUGAAUUUGCUGCUUUGUUUGCAACUUACUACAACUUUAAUCUGGUGUACCAGCACGAGGCAUCCUGCACACUUGAAUUUGUUCAAAGAUGUUUACCAAGAACAUCAAUGAAAGUGGAAAGACCUCAGAGAAGAGGAACAACACAGUCAAUCCUCAUGUGUCUACUCUUCUCAUUAGGCUACCCUGUGGACCUUGAGUGGUUAAACAUGUGAGUUGUCAAAUGUAUAUAUGAAACAAAAAACUGAGAUGUCUAUAAUUACACAAAAUGUAAAAAAGUACUUUGAAACAAAAAUAAUAGUAAUAAUAAUAGAAAAGCAGAAAUUUGAGUUUUAACAAGAGAUGCGAGUUAACAAUUUUGCCAUUCUGUUGUUUGAGCUUAAAGGGAUAGUUGAGUUUGAAAUUAA